AACGCGAAGAACCUUACCUACUCUUGACAUCCUGCGAACCUAACUGAGAAGUCGGGGUGCCGCAAGGAACGCAGAGACAGGUGCUGCAUGGCUGUCGUCAGCUCGUGUUGUGAGAUGUUGGGUUAAGUCCCGUAACGAGCGCAACCCUUGUCCUUAGUUGCCAGCGAGUAAUGUCGGGGACUCUAAGGAGACUGCCGGUGAUGAACCGGAGGAAGGUGGGGACGACGUCAAGUCAUCAUGGCCUUUAUGAGUAGGGCUACACACGUGCUACAAUGGGGCGCACAGAGGGUCGCGAACCCGCGAGGGGAAGCUAAUCUCAGAAAACGUCUCUUAGUCCGGAUUGGAGUCUGCAACUCGACUCCAUGAAGUUGGAAUCGCUAGUAAUCGCGAAUCAGCAACGUCGCGGUGAAUACGUUCCCGGGCCUUGUACACACCGUAGUAC
rnacentral:rRNA from 1 species